rnacentral:rRNA from 1 species
UACGUAGGGUGCGAGCGUUAAUCGGAAUUACUGGGCGUAAAGCGCGCGUAGGUGGUUCAGUAAGUUGGAUGUGAAAUCCCCGGGCUCAACCUGGGAACUGCAUUUGUGACUGCAAGGCUAGAGUACGGCAGAGGGGGAUGGAAUUCCGCGUGUAGCAGUGAAAUGCGUAGAUAUGCGGAGGAACACCAAUGGCGAAGGCAA